UGGUGAGCAGCCUCGCACCCGGUGACAGCAGGCGGGCCAUGCGCACAGCUGAGUAGCCACAGUAGGCCCCCAGCUCCAGCAGCAUGGAGGGCUGGUGCUCCUGAAUCACAGCGUCCACGAUCUUGCCUGUGCAAGUAGGUGUCGAUGGCCUCCAGCACGCUCUGUGCGUUCCCAGGCUCCGCAUGCUGCAGCACGUGGUGCAGGAUGCGCUGCUCCUUGGUGUCACCCAUGAGCAGGUUGCGGAUGGGCUGCAGGACGAACUCGUUCCAGCAGAUAAGGCACAGGCCCCAGCCCCAGCGCCUCAGGAGCAACAGCAGCACCACCAGCACCAGGCCUAGGAACACAGCGGCCAGCAGCAGAGGGCAGGACGUGCCCACAGGGCUCGUGGGGAAAAAACAGGAGAUGGCGCUUCCCUAAGGACAGUGUCCUUAUUCUGGCAGGAAGAUGACAAGGAACCACGGUGGAGAGAGACCAUGCAGACCUGAAGCCGCCAGAACUUUCCACCUUGCUCCUUUCUUCACGGUGGGGAUUUCCUAUGACAUACCUUGUUGCUUUGUUUACUACUAUUUAUCUGCUAUUGUUUAGUUAUCUAUAAUGACUACUACUGAUAUUUGUGUGGUCAGAUAAUGGGCCAUUUUGUUUACUCUCCAUAUUUAAAAAACAGUAAGUGUUAGAAAUAAACACCCCAAAUUAAAAGGGUUAUUCUGCUGAAACAGCAAAUUACUUGGUAGACCUUGGAGUCCCAAAUUAUAAAUCCAAAU